rnacentral:lncRNA from 1 species
CUUAGGGAAGUCAUGACAGUACCAAUGGACGAGUCCUUAAUACUUUUUGACUUUGAUGAUGAAGAAGAUGAUACAAAUGUUUUGGAGAAGGCUCUUUCUGAAGAAAACGUAAGUUUCUCAGUGAAAAGGCAGAAUUUUCAAGGUUCUCUAGAGACACCAAUGGAGAUCUGCUACCUAUCAAGUGAUGAAGAGAAAGACGGGAGUACUUCAGAAAAGGAGGUUUUUGAAGAAAGGACUCCAUUAACUCAAGAUGAUGGGAAUGCAAAUCCUGAAGAAAUAGUUGGAGAUACACAGAAGAAGAUCAACAGCAAAUUUUGUAAGCAGUAUAUAACUACAUUUCAGAAGUUCGAUAUGGAUGUACAGAAAUUCAAUGAAGAACAAGAAAAAUCAGCUGGUUUGAUGGACUUGGAGACCAACAACCAUGAUAUGCUUUUUGGUAUAGACGGCGAACUGAGAAAA